rnacentral:rRNA from 1 species
UACGUAGGGACCAAGCGUUGUUCGGAUUCAUUGGGCGUAAAGGGUGUGUAGGUGGCGCGCUAAGUCGGGUGUGAAAUUUCGGAGCUUAACUCCGAAACUGCAUUCGAUACUGGCGUGCUUGAGGACUGGAGAGGAGACUGGAAUUCAUGGUGUAGCAGUGAAAUGCGUAGAGAUCAUGAGGAAGACCAGUGGCGAAGGCGGGUCUCUGGACAGUUCCUGACACUGAGACACGAAGGCCAGGGGAGCAAACGGG